UUUAGGAAAUAAACUGUCGCUAAAGGACCCUAUAGCGACGAAACUGUCGCUAUAGGUGUUCUUGAGUGUUCUUCAUCAAACCCAGAAAUUCUUCGACAGUGUGUAGGGUGUCUAGUUUGACCACUUAUAAAAUCCAAUAUAAAGUGUUUAUGGGCUAGAGAUCGAUCAGAUAUUGUAGUACUCAUGCAUCACUAUAACUACAAACUAAUUACAUGGUCAAAUCAUUAAACAACAAAGAGAUUUAAUCUCUCAAAACCAUUGUCAGACGCUGUUCUUCAUUUCUGGGUUUUUCAGAAAUGAAGAACAGUACAAGGUAUCUACUUUAG
rnacentral:lncRNA from 1 species